GGCGAUUAGCGGCGAACGGGUGAGUAACACGUGAGUAACCUGCCCAUGAUACCGGGAUAACUCCGGGAAACCGGAUCUAAUACCGGAUACCAUCCUUUCCUCGCAUGAGUCUUGGUGAAAAGUUUUUCGAUCUAUCAAUGAUAUCUGGACCUAUCCCUUGUAGCUGGGUGAUGGGUACCACUUACAAAACGGACAAUCCGCAUGCGACCUGACCGGUCAUACUGCACACUGGACCUGACCACACUCCUAACUCCUACGCAGGAGCAAUAUGAAUCUGCGGAUGCCUGAAGCCUGACGCACGCGCCGCUGCUGCGCGGUUGCGAUCCUUUCCUCUGUUAACAGAGCGGACUGUAAUGACCCGUUGCUACCGCUCAACGGAAUUAAUACUGCGGUCCGGAUAUGGGGAAAGUCUAGAUUUUGGCGAGUGGCAAGCGGUCAAGUGGUGGAAGCCCGGUUGCGGAGGCAUGAAUGAUCUGUGAGAAAAAUGAAUCCUGGACGCGUGGGAAGUUGAGACCACGCAUGGUUUGUUGAUGCGUGUGGAAACGGGACUAAGAUAAAGUGGAUGGGCGAUCAGUUCAGGUACAGUCACCUAUGUGGUACGUAAAUCCCGGAGCACGAGCCACCCGAUGGGGUCCCACUGAAACUAUCUCCCCACUCAAUG
rnacentral:rRNA from 1 species